UUUUUUUGUUUUUUCCCCUUUCAGUUUCUUCUUCCUCUCCUCACCCCCGACUUUCUCUACAUCAUUCCCAGAUUCCCUCCCCCGUUUUUCCCUCCCUGAUCUCACCACUAUCACAUCUCGGCAGUUUCAUUUUAUUUCUUCCUCACAUAUUUUUUCCCCUCUCGUCGGACCCUCGCACUUCCUUCCUCUCCUACAGAUUUCGUGUGUUGCAGUUCGUGGGUUUCUUGAGUCUCAAUGACGCCGGCAACCUCUCGUCGGACUCUUGUGGACGACGAUCACUGCGCCGUGGCACAAAUUAGACCAGAUUAGAUACCAAUUGUUGGGUGAUUUUCUCACAAUCAGAUUUGUUGCCUCGCUUAGUAUUGCCAUCAUGCUUGGUGGAAAGAGACAUUUUUUUCAUCCAUGUUUGAAGGGCUACAAGAUGAUUUGGGUGAUACGCUUUGUGAUGAUCAGGUUCGGCAAGAUUGGCUGGUUGUGGGAAGUUGAGUACCUAAGGGUAUUUUCAUUAGUUGAGAGUUAUCUUAUAAAUAGUUUGAUUUUAGAGUGUAAAAUUUGAUGUAUGGAGACUUUCGAAUUUCUGAUUUUUUAUGUUUUGAUUAAUUAAGGAAUACCUUGUAGAGGAAUUUAUGUGGUUGAACUUAAUGGAUAAGUUUAUGUUUUGUGUGGGACUAGGUAGAUAUGUGAUUUGCAUUGUAAGAGAUAGAUUAAAUUUUAUAUUUAUGGAAUAUUUAGAAAUAUCACUUGUAUUGUGAAGAUAUGAUUUUAAUAAGAAGUAACUCUUCGACCGACCUGGGACCGGGGCAUGACAGUUAGUAUCAAAGCCAAGUUUGAGGUUUUGCAGACUAUAGUACUUGAGAUUUUGGAUUAUAGAUAGACUAUAAGAAAUAAUAUUGUUGGUAUUGGAGGUUUUAGAAUUUGCAGACUUUUGAGAUAGAUCAUUACUACUAUUGCGCAUACAAUUUUCUAUUUAUUAUAGAUACCUUUAUAACUCUGAAAUAUUAUAAAUAUGUUUGUUUUUCAGGUGCCAUUAUUUAUUUAUGUUUAUAUGAACUCUAUAUUUUUGAAAUGAUUAUUAAAGGUCUUUAAGUUUUUUAUGAUGUCACAUUGUCAUCGGGAACGAAGUAUAUCGGAUCUGAACGCAACCGAUAACAAAAGAGAAGUAAAUCCGAGUGCUUUCUAAGUAUUUCGAGCAGUGGCGCAUCAAUUAAUAGAUGAUUUCGAGUCACCAACACAACAAUAAUGAAGAAGGCUAUAUCGUGUAGCAAUUCAACCGGAUGCAACCUCCUUCAUUUGAUGGGAGAGGCAAGCCAACCCUAUCGGAUGAUUGGGUUCAAGAUAUUGAGGAGAUACUACGGAUCUUGACUUUUACAGAUGAAUAGAAGGUGGCGUACGCCACAUUCAAGCUGACCGAGGAGGCGAAAAGAUGGUGGAUUUCUGAAAGAACUAUCAGAGAAGCUGAAGGGACGAAAAUAGUCAGUUGGUUGCAUUUCAAGCAGAUUUUUUGGGAGCGCUUCCUCCCAAGCUCGGUCAAAGACGUCAAGGCUAUGGAAUUUGCUACUUUGGUGCAGGGUGCAAUGACAGUACACCAGUAUGCAGUCAGAUUUACCUAGUUGUCACGUUUUGCUAUGUACCUAAUCCCUGAUGAGGAGAAGAAUGCGUAUAAGUUCGAACAUGAGCUAAACGAAAAACUUUAUGAGCAAGUGAUGGGCUUUCAGACUUGAAAAUUUUCAGAGUUGGUGAAUAAGGCCACAAUUUUUUAACGAAGCUUUCAAAGAAGCACUGCACUGCAUGAUCAGAGGAAGAUGACUACUCCAUCUGGGUAUCAUUCUGGCAUGGACCAAAGACCGUGGAAAAAGAGAAACGAAGGUAGUAGCUCGGGUAAGAGGCAGUUCAAGGUAACUAACAACCCUAUAUGUGUAGGACAUGCAACCAAGUGCAUUUUGAGGAGUGCAGAAAAGGGGUAAGAUUAUGUUUCCAUUGCGGCAAAUCAGGCCCAGUGUAUCACCUUAAGGAGCUCCAGUUCUUUUUGUGAAGAAGAAUGAUGGAUCGAUGAAAAUCUAUAUUGGUUUGCCGCAAUGGAAACAUAAUAUUGCCCAUUUUCUGCACUCCUCGGAAUGCAUUUGGUUGCAUGUCCUACACAUAUAAGGCUAUUGAUUAUCUUGAACCGGCCUCUUACCCGAGCUACUACCUUCAUUCCUCUUUUUCCACGGUCCUUGGUCCAUG